rnacentral:rRNA from 1 species
GGCAUGCUUAACACAUGCAAGUCGAACGGAAACGAUGGGAGCUUGCUCCCAGGCGUCGAGUGGCGGACGGGUGCGUAACGCGUAGGAAUCUACCCAGUAGUUGGGGACAACACGAAGAAAUUCGUGCUAAUACCGCAUACGAUUUUCCGGUUGCAUGAUUGGAAAAUGAAAGGUGGCCUCUCCUUGGAAGCUGCCGCUGAAGGAUGGUCCCGCGUCCCAUUAGCUUGAUGGUGGGGUAACGGCCUACCAUGGCUCCGAUGGGUAGCCGGCCUGAGAGGGUGUCCGGCCACACUGGGACUGAGAUACGGCCCAGACUCCUACGGGAGGCAGCAGUCGAGAAGCUUCGGCAAUGGGCGAAAGCCUGACCGAGCGACGCCGCGUGAGCGAUGAAGGCCUUAUUGGUUGUAAAGCUCUGUCAGAUUGGAAAGAAAACUCGGCGAUUAAUACCCGCCGAGCAUGACGGUACCAUCAGAGGAAGCACCGGCUAACUCCGUGCCAGCAGCCGCGGUAAUACGGAGGGUGCAAGCGUUAUCCGGAUUUAUUGGGUUUAAAGGGUCCGUAGGCGGGCGAUUAAGUCAGUGGUGAAAGUCUGCAGCUCAACUGUAGAAUUGCCUUUGAUACUGGUCGUCUUG